UGAGGGAUGACGUCACUGGAGAGGUACGUAACAACGAGUGCUUACGAGGUGACUCUCUAUCGCAGUCGGCGCCGGGGGAAGGGGGACCUCGGGCUAGUCGGCACCCUUCCCUUUCCAGCGGUCUACGAGGAGGAAGGGCAUCCACUUCGAAGCAGACCUGGGUGUUCUUAUGCUGAUCUACCAGAGAAAACGUCAAGUGGAGUUUGGUGGAAGGGUACAUUUUGAGGAUCGGCAUCUUCAGCCCAUAUGAGACCAACUCCCCCUUCUCCAAUGGACAUUCACCGUUCGUGAGGGACUUGCAGGCGUCCUGCUCAGGUAGAGGGUAGUCGAUGGUGAAGCCCGCGACUUUGACGAGGACUUUUGGGUGGAGAUCAUCUGUGUCAGCAACUGGUACUCCCGGACCUUCUCCACGAAAUGUUCCACACUCUCAGCAUCAGUGAUAUCAAUCUCCUGGAUUGUGAUGCCCAUUUUUAUGAGUUCCUGAGCCCCCAGACUAUUUCUCCCAUGGACCCCCGCAAUCACUCUAGCCGAGAGAUUUUUAUGGCAGUGAAGGGCGAGAUUGUAACCGAGGCCCGAGUCACAGCCAGUUAAUACGAUCGUAUCCCUAUGGUCUAUUUUCCGAAGGGAUCGUUUCGUUAAAUAAUAAUAGGUAGCUCCUGCGAAUAAAAAAAUUGUUAUAAUAUUUUUCUCCAACGAUUUCGUUUUGAAAAUUGAAAUUUUUAUAAGUAACUGAAGCUCAAAAAAUUUUUUAACUCACCGGAAGUCAGUAGUAAAGCAGUUGCCGAUGCAGAUAUACUUCCGGUUUGCCACAGACACAUGACGGAAGAUAAAUAACUAAUAGAUAAACCAUUUCUCCUGAACAAGUUCUUCAUCUCAAGUUAAAUAUUGAGCGGGAAUAAAAAGCAAUCAAAUUCACAGCAAUAAAGUCAAUAAUAAAACGAAUAACUGAUGAAAUUAUUAUAAAUCACACAAAAAACAAGCUCGUAGAAUGCAAAAAAUGAAUACUUUCAUGGAAGAACCAGUGAUUCGAUGUAUAACAACGUAAAUUAGGGGAUUCUCGAACGAUCUUCGUUGUCCGGCAGUCAAGACAUCAAAUGCUCCAUCCGAACUCCCGAUGAGUCCCCACCUCCAUCAUUCCUGUUUCACAUCCCCUCUUAUUUUUUUUUCUCAUAUUUUUCCCUCCUGACCUGGUUAUACAGGUAUUCAGGCACUCUGAAAUUAUUCCCCUGUUCAGUGGUAAACUUAAAGUGGAUUUAUGGGGAGAAUUAGAUUAGAUGUCAAUUCCUUAAGUGAAAAAUGGGUUUUCUUUUUAUCUAUAAUGAUCAGACAUCCAAAAAUCGAGCGAGGAUUUCUCUCAUAAAUUCAUCAGCAUUUGUAUUAUCUUAUUCACUUCAUUUUUUUUCGAGACGGGGACAAUCGAAUUUUAAAAAAUCGCAAGUUUUAAAAGUUUACCAUUGAAUUUUUUUUUAGAAUUCAUCAAAUUUCGAAAAUCCCUGAAUUACAAUCCCUGGCAUCCCUGGAAAAUUCCAGGGAAAAAUCAAUGACUAAAUAAAUUGUCUGUGAAAAACAAAUUUUUGGUCGUUCAAUUUGUUAAUAAUUUUUUUUAGUGACAAAACUGAAUGAAUUUCCUUGGAGCCAAUUCUCGAAACUCCUCCAAGGUCUCCUACCCCUCCCCAAUACAUUCGAAAUAUGUAAAACACUUGAGUUGAUUUUUGUAUUUGAAUUUUAAAUGAAAACACACCAGAGAUUUUUCAGCUGAUUCCACGGGUUCUCCCAGGUAUUAAAAUUCAUGUGAUUAUCUUCUCCUUUUUCCUCACGGUUGAGGCUAAAGAUAGAUUAUGGGCAGUGUCAGCAGUGGCCCACGGGUUUCAGUUUGAAUAUAUUCCUGACGUGCGGUACAGAUUGAACGAGUUCUGGAGGUAUCGAAUUCGAUAUCCGUUUGAAACUCUGGGACUCUUCUUUCACGUUACCAGACGUGUCACACAUAUGGGAACAAGUAUUCUGGGGUAGACGAUGAAGUGUUCGCCAGUUCAAGGACAUUCGAAUUAAAGGGAAUAUUCACUACGAAGUCAUUGUCGAUGUCUUUUCUUUUUAUUUUUUCAGGCCAUCGAUGGAGAUAAAUUGAUGAGGAAAGUUGUCAGAUGGUUGAAAAAAUUAAUUUUUCAAAAAAUAGAUGGAGUUACGUAGAAAGAGUAAGAGAGGAAUGAAAAAAUA